UUACGGCCAUAUCACGUUGGAACACCGGUUCCCGUACGAUCACCGAAGUUAAGUAACACAUCUAGAUACUGGCCAGGCAGGUCAGUAUCUAGAUGGGUAAGUGCUUGUGACUAGCAGGUGCUGUAAG